UUUCCCCUGCGGGAGUGAGCUUCUUCCCGCCAACUAGCCCGGUGUCCAGACACCGGGCAUUUUCU
rnacentral:sRNA from 1 species